GAUGAACGCUGGCGGCGUGCCUAAUACAUGCAAGUCGAGCGAACAGACGAGGAGCUUGCUCCUUCGACGUUAGCGGCGGACAGGUGAGUAACACGUAGGUAACCUACCUAUAAGACUGGGAUAACUUCGGGAAACCGGAGCUAAUACCGGAUAAUAUUUCGAACCGCAUGGUUCGAUAGUGAAAGAUGGCUUUGCUAUCACUUAUAGAUGGACCUGCGCCGUAUUAGCUAGUUGGUAAGGUAACGGCUUACCAAGGCAACGAUACGUAGCCGACCUGAGAGGGUGAUCGGCCACACUGGAACUGAGACACGGUCCAGACUCCUACGGGAGGCAGCAGUAGGGAAUCUUCCGCAAUGGGCGAAAGCCUGACGGAGCAACGCCGCGUGAGUGAUGAAGGUCUUCGGAUCGUAAAACUCUGUUAUUAGGGAAGAACAAACGUGUAAGUAACUGUGCACGUCUUGACGGUACCUAAUCAGAAAGCCACGGCUAACUACGUG
rnacentral:rRNA from 1 species